GUCAUUUUGUUUUGUAGGUAUCCUCGAUCAUGCACCUGUUGCAGUUGUUCCAAAAAAGCAACAUCAAGGUAACUAAAUAGAUCUUGAUUGAUGUAAGAAAGAUGGAAGUAGCAGUGAAGAAGACUCAUCUAUUAUGGUUGCAAAAUUUAGUUUGCCCUUUUGUAGUUAUAUAUCUAGCAUAUACAUUAUCUAUGUGCGAUAAUGGCUGGUAAUAUAUAAAUACAUGCAUAUUCUUCUCAUCUAUUAUUUUGUUACGUUUUAAUAAUUUUGCGAUAAUAAAAAUAUGAAGUCAUCCUCUCUUUUUUUUUUCGCAAUUCUUGAUGAUAUUUUCAGCAUGUGGAGGACCAAGGGUAUAAUUUAAGUUGGAUUCCAUCUGGUGCUAAGUUUUUGUAUGUUAACCGGAUCAUCUAUGGCUAUGGCGGUUAGUCGGGUUGUUUUUUCUUUCCCUGGUAUAUGCUUAAUUAGUUAUUUGUUCAAUGUUUUGUAUCAUCUAUGUUUGUUGGAAAUUUAAUUAAUAAUGACAAACUAUAAUACUGGUUGAGUUUGUAGA